AUCCCCAGUGGGGCUGCUGCCUGGGGCACUCCCAACAUCUCCAGGGCUCUGGAAUUGUUGCAGCAGCAGGAAGGUGCCCCAGAGAACAGACUGACAGGAUCAGCCAGGGUCCUUUCCCAAGCAUGUGCAUCUCUGGAAUUGCAGCAUGUGUGGGCAACAUGUGCUCUCUCUUCCACUGGAUGUUAAGUUCUAGUCUCCCUCACCCCAGCCAGCUUCUGUCAUCACUACAGUGAUUCUGAGAAAGAUGGUGGUACAAGACACCACUUGCUUACAAAUCCACACCAAGUGAGGUGGGAUACAGAUGUUUUCUUCAGACAGCUACAAGGGGUUGAUCAUGGGGAGUCACCAAACAAUGCGGGUUCAAAGUACCAGCAGAUGGUGUAUGCUGGGUUAAAAGUUUUGGAAUUAAGCAGGAGAUGAAGCAAACAACUUCAAAGUUGGUGUUUACAGAAUAAUCCCAACAAAGGUUUACUGCUAUGAUCAUUAGUUGGAAGUUGCAAGAUGAUAAGUGGGAUACAUUACUUUGUUAUCUAUUUUUGUGGAUGAAAACUUGGUUUUGAGAAACUAUAUUUGAUAAGUUUGCAUAGAAAUAAUCAAAAAGGUUUGCUGGAGGAACAAAUUUCGAAAUACUCUCCACCCCCCUCCCUUAUUUUAGAAUGUAGUGCAAUUCAUACUCAAGGAAUGUUGUGUCCUGCAAAGUUAAUCAUAGUCAAAUAAUAGUCUUGUCAAAGUUUCAUGUAAGAAAGGAUGAAGUUAAAAAAAGGAGCUGAUUAUUUUUAUA